CCUACGGGGGGCAGCAGUAGGGAAUCUUCCACAAUGGGCGAAAGCCUGAUGGAGCAACGCCGCGUGGGUGAAGAAGGUCUUCGGAUCGUAAAACCCUGUUGUUAGAGAAGAAAGUGCGUGAGAGUAACUGUUCACGUUUCGACGGUAUCUAACCAGAAAGCCACGGCUAACUACGUGCCAGCAGCCGCGGUAAUACGUAGGUGGCAAGCGUUAUCCGGAUUUAUUGGGCGUAAAGGGAACGCAGGCGGUCUUUUAAGUCUGAUGGGAAAGCCUUCGGCUUAACCGGGGUAGUGCAUUGGAAACUGGGAGACUUGAGUGCAGAAGAGGAGAGUGGAACUCCAUGUGUAGCGGUGAAAUGCGUAGAUAUAUGGAAGAACACCGGUGGCGAAAGCGGCUCUCUGGUCUGUAACUGACGCUGAGGUUCGAAAGCGUGGGUAGCAAACAGGAUUAGAUACCCCAGUAGUC
rnacentral:rRNA from 1 species